GUUAUAAUUCUAGCCACCCCAUAACCAAAAACCUCUAUUAAUAAUUAAAAUAAAUCAUUUAAUCAUGGAAGUAUAGGCGA
rnacentral:rRNA from 1 species